rnacentral:rRNA from 1 species
CUGCUGGCGAGUGGCGCACGGGUGCGUAACGCGUAUACAAUCUACCUAUUACAGGGGUAUAGCCUUUAGAAAUGAAGAAUAAUCCCCCAUAGUAUUUAUAAGUUGCAUGAUUUAUAGAUUAAAGUUUCGGCGGUAAUAGAUGAGUAUGCGUUCUAUUAGCUAGUAGGUAAGGUAACGGCUUACCUAGGCGACGAUAGAUAGGGGCCCUGAGAGGGGGAUCCCCCACACUGGUACUGAGACACGGACCAGACUCCUACGGGAGGCAGCAGUGAGGAAUAUUGGACAAUGGGCGCGAGCCUGAUCCAGCCAUGCCGCGUGCAGGAAGACUGCCCUAUGGGUUGUAAACUGCUUUUAUACAGGAAGAAACCCAAGUACGUGUACUUGGCUGACGGUACUGUAAGAAUAAGCAUCGGCUAACUCCGUGCCAGCAGCCGCGGUAAUACGGAGGAUGCAAGCGUUAUCCGGAAUCAUUGGGUUUAAAGGGUCCGUAGGUUGAUUAAUAAGUCAGAGGUGAAAGCCUGCCGCUCAACGGUAGAACUGCCUUUGAUACUGUUAGUCUUGAAUUAUGGUGAAGUGGUUAGAAUAUGUAGUGUAGCGGUGAAAUGCAUAGAUAUUACAUAGAAUACCAAUUGCGAAGGCAGAUCACUAACCAUAUAUUGACACUGAUGGACGAAAGCGUGGGUAGCGAACGGGAUUAGAUACCCCGGUAGUCCACGCCGUAAACGAUGGAUACUAGCUGUUGGGAUUUCGAUCUCAGUGGUUAAGCGAAAGUAAUAAGUAUCCCACCUGGGGAGUACGUUCGCAAGAAUGAAACUCAAAGGAAUUGACGGGGGCCCGCACAAGCGGUGGAGCAUGUGGUUUAAUUCGAUGAUACGCGAGGAACCUUACCAGGGCUUAAAUG